rnacentral:sRNA from 1 species
CAGUUAGGAUCAGUGAGCGCAUGCCUGAUUUCUACAGAACAGCUUCCUGGAGAUCAGACCACAACUUCACAUACAGCAGCUCUCUUCAUUUGACCCAGUCCAUGGCUAAGGAAGAUAUCAGUACUGAACAAUCGCAAUCCUUGUCAAUCGUAAAGAAAGCUGUUGGCACGCCAUCCUCUUGACAAUAAAACAGGAUCCCAAUUCUGUGGUCAUUACUGUGAUGGGACAGUCAAAUGGAUUUCAAGAACUUUCACUUAUGUAUAUGUUUUCAUUCUGUUCUUCCCAAUGACACAGUAUAUUUGAUAUAAUAUUAGAGUGAUGAGUUUGAUAUUUUUAAAUGAAUUUAACUGGAAAUCAUAGAAGUCGUAUUUUGAAAUAGAGAGACACUUCAAAACGUUGACUCUAUUUCUGCCUUGGGAGUAAAAAAUCUAUUUAGGUCUGAAUCUUGGAUCAUUUAAGUUCCUAUUUUAAACCUUUCAUUGUUAUUUAGUACAUCAAUACAGUCCUAUAUAAAAGUACAUAGAAUUUGUUUUAAAACUUUCACUAAGUACUUAGUCCCACUAUGCCAUCUCAAGUAUUAGUUCAGAAUAUCACAGGAUUCUUCUCUUCUUAUUGUUAAAUGUUAGCUAUUUCUAGUUUAGAGUUUUCACAGACAGGCUUGUUUAUCUGAUGGUGAUACUUUUAUAAGUGUCCCCUGAAUUCCCUUUGAACAAGCACUGCUCCGCUCUUCUAUGGUAUCUAUAGGAAAAAUAAAGAAUUCCCCGUCCUCAUUUUCUUUUCUGUUCAUGUAAAAAUACUGAAAACUAGUUGGCCAUAGUGAGUAUCUGGACAAACAAAGCAAGGCUGUAGAGAGAAUAGAGUGAAAAAUACUUAAUUUUGUUUAUUAUUAACAUUAUUUAGUAUAUUGUGUAAUUACACCUUUGCUCUCUUUCCUUUCAUACCUCUCAACCUUCCCAUAUAUUCCUCCUUGCUCUCUCUCAAGUUCGUGUCUCUUUAAAGUGAAUUGAUGUUAUAUACAUAUAUAUUUGCACUAUGAUAUGCAGACUCAAGUGUGGAUGUGCACAGCAGAGUACGAAUUCAGGGAGUCCGUUUUCGCCUUCCACCUUGUCGGGGGCAGGGCUUGCUUGUUUCUGAGACUGCGAUAGGUCAUCCAGGCCAGAGAACAUGUGCUUUCAGGUGAGUCUCCUAUUUCUACCGUCUAUCUUACCACAGGAGUUCUGGGAAUGUAGAUGGAUUCUGUAGCAUUUACCUUCUUACAUAAGUCCUGGGAUCUGAACUGGGGUUGUCUGGUUUGCUCAUCAAGUUCUUUGUCCCACUAAGCCAGCUUUCUGGGUCCAAAUCAACAAUGGGCGUUUUAUUUAUCUACUCUUUUCUGCUUGUAACUCUUAAUACUGAUGACCAAAGUGACAGGACCCAGAAGUACCAGGAGACAAAACUCUGUGCAUGUGUAUAAGGGGGUUUGUAGACUGGUUGAACUGAGGUAGAAAGGCCCUCGCUUCAUGCAGGAACCAAAAUGCUGUGGGCUGAGGUCCUCCAGUGGGUAUAAGGGAGAGAGCUGAGAAUCGGUCUUUACUGUGCUCCGGUUUUUGACUGCAGAUGCAGCGAGACCGCUGCCUCAUAUUUCUGCUGCUGUGUUUACCCACACGGUACACCGGACCUUCAGACUGUGCGCCGAAGUAGACUUCCAUCCUUAAGUUGUCAUACGUUGUUUUCAUAAAAUUAAAGUUGUAGUGUGCUGCUGCGUAUUGAUAGGAUACUUUGCUUGUCUCUGAUGCUCAAAAGGUUUUAUAAGACCCAAAAGAUGGAUAGAUGGAUAAAGUUUACGUUGCGAUAUGAGUCAUUUUAACUUACCAACUUUUUGCAUGUUUCUUUGAGUUUAAAAAAUGUGUUUGACCUUCUUCUUAAUGGAGAUUGAUUAUAAAUAUUUACUUUAUUUCAUUUUAAAGGAUAUUUUAUUUGUCACAAUUUAUAUAAUAUUUUCUAUUAUCUUUCAAAACUUAAUAUGGACUCAUUAACAUAUUUUACAGUUUAUUUCCACUUUAGGAUGUUCUUAGUAUAUUAUGAAGUGGUACUUUAAUGAUAUGUCUAUUUCUUCUAAAGUAUUGAAAGUCGUCUGGUCUAACAUUUUGGGAUUUUUGCAGGGUUAGUAUUUUAUCGAGAUAGAUUUUAUGAAGAUGAAUUAAGCAAAGUCUUUUUCAACCCCCUUCAUCUACCUCCUGUGCGGAUUGUGGAAAGCUGAAUAUUUGAUUGGAAGCUUCCCUCUGAGCUAGAAGUGCCCGCAGCAUCAAAAUUCUCUGUGUGAUAUGAGAACUCCUGGAAACAUUUCUUCCUGAUUCAACAAAGCCAGCUCCAGCCUCCCUGGGUUUUUCAGCCAUGACUGCAAAUGCUGUUCCUGGAGCUACAUUGCCACCGUGCGGCCAAACGGAAGAAAGGCACAGACGAAAUGCCAGGGCACGGAGCCUUGAUUUUGGAGUUUACCACACUUAAACCUGCUUACGUAUAUACAAGUAGUCACUGAGGCUAAGAUGUGCAUACAGGCGAGAGCACGGGCAUUUUUGUCUUCCUGAGUUUAGGUCACGUCACUCAGUAGUAUCUUUUCUCUUUGACUGCAGACUGGGAAGCAGCUCUUCAGCAAGGACUGCGUGCACACACUGGAAAGGUGAGCCACGAACACCCCGUGUCGUUUACUUUGACUGAGGAAAUGUUGACCUAGUGAAAAGGUUUACUGUUUGGUGAGCAGAACUUCAAGAUUUCCCUUUCCUCCUCGGUUUUACUGUGCUAGCUUUAAAACUAACUAGGUUUUUUAUUCUUGGGCAGCUCAAGUCCUUCUGAGCACUGAUCGAAAGUUACAGGCUCCCACUCAUUGUAAUACACUCCUCGGUAAAUGAUUCGAUCUUUCUGUUUGUUUUAGUGAACAGUUGCUUUCUUUCAACAUGGAAUUGGUCAGGUUUGAUCAUGUACUUUUAUGUGUACCAAUAAAAUUUUGUUGCUUUUCCUUUUGAUCUGUACUUGUGGCUGGCAUCAUACAGGUAGCACAAAAUCUGCUUCAGCACAGCAGACUUCCCCCCAUAUGACCGAUGCUGUCAGCCUGCUGACUAUAAACUCUUUCUUGGUUUCAGAAAUCUUCUCUUUAACUUUGUGCUGACAGACAUAUUAGCAGAGUACACAUUAUUCUAGACUGAUAACUGCUUUCUCCUCUUUUGGUCCCACUCCACUCUCCUUUCUUUGACUGCUUUCAAAAGUAGUUCAGUCUCUGGCCCUUUAGGUCUCUGCUCAAUUGUGUCAAUAUUUUUUGAGUAAUUCCAUUAUUAUGCAUUGUCACAUGGAUCAUUCUUUGUUCACUUCUCAUACUCGCUUAAUUAGCUUCAUAGACUUUCAAAUUGUUUUCUUUAAUUAA